GCGUCGGUGCCAGAGUGGUCUAAUGGGGCCGCCUGCAGAGCGGCUUUCCGCAGGUUCGAAUCCUGCCCGGCGCU
rnacentral:tRNA from 1 species